UGGCUCAGAACGAACGCUGGCGGCAGGCUUAACACAUGCAAGUCGAAGCCCCGCAAGGGGAGUGGCAGACGGGUGAGUAACGCGUGGGAAUCUACCGUGCCCUGCGGAAUAGCUCCGGGAAACUGGAAUUAAUACCGCAUACGCCCUACGGGGGAAAGAUUUAUCGGGGUAUGAUGAGCCCGCGUUGGAUUAGCUAGUUGGUGGGGUAAAGGCCUACCAAGGCGACGAUCCAUAGCUGGUCUGAGAGGAUGAUCAGCCACAUUGGGACUGAGACACGGCCCAAACUCCUACGGGAGGCAGCAGUGGGGAAUAUUGGACAAUGGGCGCAAGCCUGAUCCAGCCAUGCCGCGUGAGUGAUGAAGGCCUUAGGGUUGUAAAGCUCUUUCACCGGAGAAGAUAAUGACGGU
rnacentral:rRNA from 1 species